AUACGAAGGGUGCAAGCGUUACUCGGAAUUACUGGGCGUAAAGCGUGCGUAGGUGGUUGUUUAAGUCUGUCGUGAAAGCCCUGGGCUCAACCUGGGAAUGGCGAUGGAAACUGGGCGACUAGAGUGUGGCAGAGGGUAGUGGGAUUCCUGGUGUAGCAGUGAAAUGCGUAGAGAUCAGGAGGAACAUCCGUGGCGAAGGCGACUGCCUGGGCCAACACUGACACUGAGGCACGAAAGCGUGGGGAGCAAACAGGAUUAGAUGCCCUGGUAGUCCACGCCCUAAACGAGGCGAACUGGAUGUUGGGUGCAAUUUGGCACGCAGUAUCGAAGCUAACGCGUUAAGUUCGCCGCCUGGGGAGUACGGUCGCAAGACUGAAACUUAAAGGAAUUGACGGGG
rnacentral:rRNA from 1 species